rnacentral:rRNA from 1 species
GACGAACGCUGGCGGCGUGCUUAACACAUGCAAGUCGAACGCUGAAGCUCAGCUUUUGUUGGGUGGAUGAGUGGCGAACGGGUGAGUAACACGUGAGUAACCUGCCCCCUUCUUUGGGAUAACGCCCGGAAACGGGUGCUAAUACUGGAUAUUCACUGGUCUUCGCAUGGGGGUUGGUGGAAAGGGUUUUUCUGGUGGGGGAUGGGCUCGCGGCCUAUCAGCUUGUUGGUGGGGUGAUGGCCUACCAAGGCUUUGACGGGUAGCCGGCCUGAGAGGGUGACCGGUCACAUUGGGACUGAGAUACGGCCCAGACUCCUACGGGAGGCAGCAGUGGGGAAUAUUGCACAAGGGGCGCAAGCCUGAUGCAGCGACGCCGCGUGAGGGAUGGAGGCCUUCGGGUUGUGAACCUCUUUCGCUCAUGGUCAAGCCGCAACAAUGGUUGUGGUGAGGGUAGUGGGUAAAGAAGCGCCGGCUAACUACGUG